rfam:Pteropus vampyrus cont1.243925, whole genome shotgun sequence.
UUUUCAGCUUUAGAUAAAGGUCAAAAACUGUCACAAAAACUUAAAAAAUUAUCUGAUGGGUCAUCUGCAUCUAAUUCAUGAAGGUGCAGUUUAUAAACACAUGAAAGGACAAUUAUCUGCUUAAUGUCAGCUUUGAGUUUAGGGUAUGUCCCAGACAUGUUAGUUGCUCCAACUCGUUUUAGAAACGUUUCUCUCAUCCAUUAAUGAAGCAAU